ACUCCUACGGGAGGCAGCAGUGGGGAAUCUUAGACAAUGGGCGCAAGCCUGAUCUAGCCAUGCCGCGUGAGUGACGAAGGCCUUAGGGUCGUAAAGCUCUUUCGCCAGAGAUGAUAAUGACAGUANCUGGUAAAGAAACCCCGGCUAACUCC
rnacentral:rRNA from 1 species